rnacentral:rRNA from 1 species
CUUGGUCAUUUAGAGGAAGUAAAAGUCGUAACAAGGUUUCCGUAGGUGAACCUGCGGAAGGAUCAUUAGUGAACGCCCUCACGGGCUUAUAACUAUUCCAAACCUCUGUGAACCGUGCCCUUCGGGGCUAUUUUACAAACAUGGUGUAAUGAACGUCAUAUAUCAUAACAAAACAAAACUUCCAACAACGGAUCUCUUGGCUCUCGCAUCGAUGAAGAACGCAGCGAAAUGCGAUAAGUAAUGUGAAUUGCAGAAUUCAGUGAAUCAUCGAAUCUUUGAACGCACCUUGCGCCCUCUGGUAUUCCGGAGGGCAUGCCUGUUUGAGUGUCAUGUAGACUCAAUCCCUCGGGUUUCCGAGGAGAUUGGACUUGGGUGUUGCCGCUCUGCCGGCUCGCCUUAAAAGACUUAGCGGGAUAGCACCGUAGUCGGCGUAAUAAGUUUCGUCGGUGAAGGUUGUGAUGACUGCUUACAAUCGCCCUUGGGCAAUUUUUGACUCUGACCUCAAAUCAGGUAGGACUACCCGCUGAACUUAAGCAUAUCAAUAAGCGGAGGA